CUCCUCUCAGAAUCAUAUCUGGAGAGUUUCCAGCACUCUACCAGUCUUGGCUAUGGGAGGGAGAGUCAAGCAGAGGCAAACUCAUCCAUUCCUAGCUUGGGCAGUGGCUAGCGAGCAGAAGGCAAUCUGCUACAAGU